rnacentral:rRNA from 1 species
AGAGCGAACGCUGGCGGCAGGCUUAACACAUGCAAGUCGAGCGGGGCAGUAGACGAAUAUGUCAGCGGCAGACGGGUGAGUAACGCGUGGGAACAUACCUUUUGGUUCGGAACAAUACAGGGAAACUUGUGCUAAUACCGGAUAAGCCCUUACGGGGAAAGAUUUAUCGCCGAAAAGAUUGGCCCGCGUCUGAUUAGCUAGUUGGUGGGGUAACGGCCUACCAAGGCGACGAUCAGUAGCUGGUCUGAGAGGAUGAUCAGCCACAUUGGGACUGAGACACGGCCCAAACUCCUACGGGAGGCAGCAGUGGGAAUAUUGGACAAUGGGCGCAAGCCUGAUCCAGCCAUGCCGCGUGAGUGAUGAAGGCCCUAGGGUUGUAAAGUCCUUUCGGCGGGGAAGAUAAUGACGGUACCGCAGAAGAGCCCGGCUAACUUCGUGCCAGCAGCCGC